rnacentral:rRNA from 1 species
GUUCUCUGGGUGGCGAGUGGCGGAUGGGUGAGGAAUACAUCGGAAUCUACUUUUUCGUGGGGGAUAACGUAGGGAAACUUACGCUAAUACCGCAAACGACCUACGGGUGAAAGCAGGGGAUCUUCGGACCUUGCGCGAUUGAAUGAGCCGAUGUCGGAUUAGCUAGUUGGCGGGGUAAAGGCCCACCAAGGCGACGAUCCGUAGCUGGUGUGAGAGGAUGAUCAGCCACACUGGAACUGAGACACGGUCCAGACUCCUACGGGAGGCAGCAGUGGGGAAUAUUGGACAAUGGGCGCAAGCCUGAUCCAGCCAUACCGCGUGGGUGAAGAAGGCCUUCGGGUUGUAAAGCCCUUUUGUUGGGAAAGAAAUCCAGCUGGUUAAUACCCGGUUGGGAUG